GAUGGAGAAGAAAGCGGGGCAACUCGCACCGACAGAUCAGUCUGCGUCCCAUCAGCUAGUUGGUGAGGUAAUGGCUCACCAAGGCGACGACGGGUAGCUGGUCUGAGAGGAUGAUCAGCCACACUGGGACUGAGACACGGCCCAGACUCCUACGGGAGGCAGCAGUGGGGAAUAUUGGACAAUGGGCGAAAGCCUGAUCCAGCAAUGCCGCGUGAGUGAUGAAGGCCUUCGGGUUGUAAAGCUCUGUCGGGAGGGACGAAAAAGCCAUGGUAAUGCGUGGUAUUGACGGUACCUCCAAAGGAAGCACCGGCUAACUCUGUGCCAGCAGCCGCGGUAAUACAGAGGGUGCAAGCGUUGUUCGGAAUUACUGGGCGUAAAGCGCGUGUAGGCGGCGUCAUAAGUCGGAUGUGAAAGCCCUCGGCUCAACCGAGGAAGUGCAUCCGAUACUGUGAGGCUUGAGUGUUGGAGGGGGUGGCGGAAUUCCCGGUGUAGAGGUGAAAUUCGUAGAUAUCGGGAGGAACACCUGUGGCGAAGGCGGCCACCUGGACAACAACUGACGCUGAGACGCGAAAGCGUGGGUAGCAAACAGGAUUAGAUACCCUGGUAGUCCACGCUGUAAACGAUGAGUGCUAGACGUCACGGGUAU
rnacentral:rRNA from 1 species